UACAGAGGUGGCAAGCGUUGUUCGGAAUUACUGGGCGUAAAGGGCGCGUAGGCGGUUUCGUAAGUCCCGUGUGAAAGCCCCCGGCUCAACUGGGGAACUGCACGGGAAACUGCGAGGCUUGAGUUCGGGAGAGGGAAGCGGAAUUCCGCGUGUAGCAGUGAAAUGCGUAGAUAUGCGGAGGAACACCGAUGGCGAAGGCAAUCCCCUGGACCUGUACUGACGCUCAUGCACGAAAGCGUGGGGAGCAAACAGG
rnacentral:rRNA from 1 species